GACGAACGCUGGCGGCGUGCCUAAUACAUGCAAGUUGAGCGCUGAAGGUUGGUACUUGUACCAACUGGAUGAGCAGCGAACGGGUGAGUAACGCGUGGGGAAUCUGCCUUUGAGCGGGGGACAACAUUUGGAAACGAAUGCUAAUACCGCAUAAAAACUUUAAACACAAGUUUUAAGUUUGAAAGAUGCAAUUGCAUCACUCAAAGAUGAUCCCGCGUUGUAUUAGCUAGUUGGUGAGGUAAAGGCUCACCAAGGCGAUGAUACAUAGCCGACCUGAGAGGGUGAUCGGCCACAUUGGGACUGAGACACGGCCCAAACUCCUACGGGAGGCAGCAGUAGGGAAUCUUCGGCAAUGGACGAAAGUCUGACCGAGAAACGCCGAGUGAGGGAAGAAGGUUGUCGGAUCGUAAAACUCUGUUGGUAGAGAAGAACGUUGGUGAGAGUGGAAAGCUCAUCAAGUGACGGUAACUACCCAGAAAGGGACGGCUAACUACGUG
rnacentral:rRNA from 1 species